rnacentral:rRNA from 1 species
AAACCAACAGGGAUUGCCUCAGUAACGGCGAGUGAAGCGGCAAGAGCUCAAAUUUGAAAUCCGGUACUUUCAGUGCCCGAGUUGUAAUUUGAAGAUAGUUUUCUGGCGCCGGCCCUUGUCUAUGUUCCUUGGAACAGGACGUCAUGGAGGGUGAGAAUCCCGUGUGGCGGGGAGCCCGGUGCUGUGUAGAUUUCUAUCGACGAGUCGAGUUGUUUGGGAAUGCAGCUCUAAGUGGGUGGUAAAUUCCAUCUAAAGCUAAAUACUGGCGAGAGACCGAUAGCGAACAAGUACAGUGAUGGAAAGAUGAAAAGAACUUUGAAAAGAGAGUGAAAAAGUACGUGAAAUUGUUGAAAGGGAAGGGUAUUGGAUCAGACUUGGUGUUGUGCGAUUAUCUUCUCCUCGUGGGUUGUGCACUCGUGCCUCACUGGGCCAGCAUCGGUUUGGGCGGCAGGACAAUGGCGGGGGAAUGUGGCACUUUACGUGUGUUAUAGCCCUUGCUGAUACUGCCUGCCUGGACCGAGGACUGCGGCUUCUGCCUAGGAUGCUGGCGUAAUGAUUCAAUACCGC